GUGGGGGAUAUUGCACAAUGGAGGAAACUCUGAUGCAGCGACGCCGCGUGAGUGAAGAAGUAUUUCGGUAUGUAAAGCUCUAUCAGCAGGGAAGAUAAUGACAGUACCUGACUAAGAAGCCCCGGCUAACUACGUGCCAGCAGCCGCGGUAAUACGUAGGGGGCAAGCGUUAUCCGGAUUUACUGGGUGUAAAGGGAGCGUAGACGGAAUGGCAAGUCUGAAGUGAAAUCCUGCGGCUUAACUGCAGAAUGGCUUUGGAAACUGUCAAUCUGGAGUGUUGGAGAGGUAAGCGGAAUUCCUGGUGUAGCGGUGAAAUGCGUAGAUAUCAGGAAGAACACCGGAGGCGAAGGCGGCUUACUGGACAAUAACUGACGUUGAGGCUCGAAAGCGUGGGAAGCAAACAGGAUUAGAAACCCUAGUAGUCC
rnacentral:rRNA from 1 species